AGCCGUUUCCCCUUUCUUUCUUACGUUUAUUUUUGGUUUUUUCCGUUCCCACAACCUUUUGUUUUGUUCCCCUUGUGCUUCCUUUGUAAUUUCUCGGCUUCUCGUUUUCCCUCACCCCUUUCUUUCACCUCUGUUUCUUUCACUCAGACGACCUUUCUUUCUCAUCACCUGUUUUCUAUACUCUCUUCCUCUUCCAUUUUUUGUGCGCUGUUUUAAUUGUUGCUUCCCUUGGGGAUUUUGGUUUCAACAUUAGCAUCAUUACAUGAAUCAAUACAUUGGUGAUGGGAGGGUUGGAGUUGGAAAGGUAUGGAAAAUGCGACACCCAAACUGGGGCGAAAUUGUAAUUGGAAGCUGCGAGUGGACAAACCAGUUUGAAAUCGUUGCUAGGAACGAUUUUGCUGGUGUUGAUCCCAUUGCCACGCCCUUCUUCUUCUUCCACUUGAUGAUGAAGCUGCAUGCAUGCAUCCUACCUUUCGGGUUUUGAGGGUCCAAGAUUUACACCGUUCGGUCAGUUCGUGUAAAUCUUCAAUCCUUUCGUUGAUGGCUUUGUUUAUGGUUUUGCCUUAAUUUUUUCUGCUGUGUAUGUCCUGUCCAUCUUAGUUUCUUUUUGUCUUUCAUUGUUUUAGUAUGUGUUCAAUGUUUUCUCUUAAAUCAGGUUUUGCUUUGUUUAAAAUUACUUGGUGAGCACUUCUAACUCUUCUCUUUUGAUCAUUGUUGAUUGUUUUCACUAUGAGAAAAAAAGGGUUAUUACAGACAGCCAAAACAAGUAGUCGGUAUUUGAUUUCAGGUGGGAUUGUACUAUUAAUUUAGGAAUCAAUUCUCUGACUUUGUUUGUAAUCUGCUAGGAUUCAGAAUCAUCCUUUGAUAUGAUUUGCGAUCUGCUGCCGUUGAGUCAUUAUAUGUUCUUCUUCUUCUUCUUCUUCAUGGUUUGGGUGCCGUGUGUUCCACUGGGGUUUCAGACACAUGAUCUCCGCUGCGCCAUUUUGGUUUUCAGUCGCAUGAGCAGAUUAGGUUAUAGUUACAGUUUCGAUUUUGGGUUCAAUCUUCAAAAACGGUAAGGAAAAUUUUCUCUUUUUUGUCUUUUCAUCAAUGGUCAAUUUUCUCCUAAUUGGAUUUUGAUAACUCAAUCAUCUUUGCAUAUACCUUGGUGUCUUCAGACUAGGUGAACCAAUAUUAUUUUAUUUGUGUUUUCAUUAAUGCACAGUUUUCUCUCUUCUACAUAUUCCUUCAAAGUAGUAUUCUUAUUUUUUAUGAAAGAUUGCAUGUGCCUAAGUUUUUGCGCUCUAUUUUUUCUUCUACCAUUUUUCAGUUUUUAAUGUGAACUUUGCAGUUAGGUUAUCCAUUUUUUCUAUACUAUAUAUAUUUAUGUUUGUUCCAAAGUUUUAAUGCAAUUAUUUGUUUUGAGUUGACAGCUAGGUUCAAUGCUAUACUCGUCCAAGCUAGGUAAGUUCUUGAAUUUUUACUAUUAAGUGAUUGUGUAGCCAUUUGACCUUUAUUUUGUUUUGCUGAACUGCACCAUCAGUUUGUAGGGGGCAAAUAAGUAUGGAUUCUUCAGUGGGAAAAAUAAAAUGCUGCUAAGUGAUAUGUUUGCUUUAUUUUUUUGACUGACCUUUCAUGCUAUUCUAAUCUUCAAAUUUGUGUAGUUAAUAUUAUGCAUUUAUGCCUCAGUGUACAGAAGUUUCUUUGAUGAAAAACCAUCAUAUCAACCCACCGAAAUCAUCAUAUAUUGCUUUUUGCUUAAUCACUCUAUUUUCUAUAUGUUUAAUUUGCAUUAUGCUUUAUCUGUUGGAAGACUUGCAUGCAAACUCUGAUAAAGUGAGAAGUGAAGCUGCUGCUAUUAAAAUUAAAAACAACAUUGGCAGAUAUGAAGCUAAGAAAGCGUAUUAACUAUAAAGAACUUCAUGUGUCCGUAGUUAUUUGCCGAACAGUCUUUAAGGGCCAUUGUUGCUCGCAAGGCGUUGGAAACAGACUUAAUCUUCCAUUAAUAUUCAGGUUUUGGUCAAGUAUUAUAAUGAUUUAGUUCUUCCUAGACCAACAGGUGCCUUAAAGGGGCUUAAGCGCUUUAGUUUAGUUACCCAGUUUGGUCUAAGGGCUACCCCAUCAUGGUUGCUACUUUCUACAGUAAUCAAGGAUGAGAUCAACUAAAACUAAGGUAUUACACAUUAUCUCUUAUUUAGUAACCCAGUUCUUUUAAUUUACUGUCUAUAGCAAGAUAGUUCAUGAGGCUUUUCAUGAUUUAAUUUCAUACCUCAAGGAACAUACAUUUCAUACCUGUCAUUCCCUUAUAUAAUUCAAAUUUAAUUAUGUUCACUAUUGCUCAGUUGAUUGGAAAAUGGACAUACUUGAAUAAUCUAAAUUUUGUAUUUGCAAAAGGUACUUUACCUAUCCUUUUUCAGUUUGGCAUUAUUGUUUAUGGAAAAUAGGCAUUACUGAUUAAUAAGAAUUCUGAUUUGUGUCUUUUAAUACGUUGUCUAUUAAUAGAUUAAAUCCUAGGUGAUCGAGAUGUUGAGCAGAGACACUCAUUGAGUAAUGUUCUCCUCAGAUAGGUGGCGGAUAAAGCUGCAAAACCUGCCUUUGUUGAUGGAUUGCUUGAUUUUGUGGCUUUUUACCAUUGAGUUGGGAACCAUAUUAUUCAAUUUAUGUAUAAAGGAUCUAUCUGAUCUGACAUAAGAAUUUGGUAUGCGAAUGAGAUUGAUAUUGGUUAUCCUACUCAGAAUUUGAAUGAUGUUAUUGUCAAUUAUAUCUUGAUUGGUUUUAGCAUUUCGGUAAUUUGCCA